AUUGAACGCUGGCGGCAUGCCUUACACAUGCAAGUCGAACGGCAGCGGGGACUUCGGUCCGCCGGCGAGUGGCGAACGGGUGAGUAAUGUAUCGGAACGUACCUUUCAGUGGGGGAUAACGUAGCGAAAGUUACGCUAAUACCGCAUAUUCUCUGAGGAGGAAAGCAGGGGACCUUCGGGCCUUGCGCUGAUGGAGCGGCCGAUAUCAGAUUAGCUAGUUGGUGGGGUAAAGGCUCACCAAGGCUACGAUCUGUAGCGGGUCUGAGAGGAUGAUCCGCCACACUGGGACUGAGACACGGCCCAGACUCCUACGGGAGGCAGCAGUGGGGAAUUUUGGACAAUGGGCGAAAGCCUGAUCCAGCCAUGCCGCGUGAGUGAAGAAGGCCUUCGGGUUGUAAAGCUCUUUCGGACGGGAAGAAAUCAUGAGGGCUAAUAUCCCUUGUGGAUGACGGUACCGUAAUAAGAAGCACCGGCUAACUACGUGCCAGCCGCCGCCGUAA
rnacentral:rRNA from 1 species